GGGGUCGUAGCUCAGAUGGGAGAGCGCCUCGAUGGCAUCGAGGAGGUCAGGGGUUCGAUUCCCCUCGGCUCCA
rnacentral:tRNA from 1 species